AUGAUUACAAGAGGAAAGAGGACAUUAUGCGGGGGUGGGGUGAGGGGGCUGCUGAGGAUGUAGUUCAGUUGGCAAAGUGCUUGACCACUAUACACACAGAUCUGGGUUUCAUUCUCAUCACCAUUUCAACUGGGCACAGCAGUACACACCUGAGUCUCAGCGCUCAAGAGGUGGAGGCAGGAGGAUAUAUAAGGUCACCCCCCAGCUGUAAAUCAUGUUUAAGAACAUAACAAAUUCAAGGUUAGGCUGGGCCACAAGAAGCCCUGCUUUAAAAACAAACAAACAAACAAACAAAAGCACCCACCAUAUAUACACAAGCUGUUUCACAUGUGUACACAGAUACGGCCCCUUCAGACUGACUGCUAUUUCUUCCCUUCUCCCUAUCUUGCUCAGCUCUUGUUGUUUUUUUUUUACGGACUCAGAUUGAUUUGCCUUUGCAAGGCAGAAUGCAGAAACACAGGAACAAGCAGGUGGAAAGAGACACCAUGGAGAGCAGCCAGAUGAAAUGAGGGCAAAAACAGUGGUAUUCCACACAGACUCUGACCAGAAUGAAAAGCAGUGAUUCACAGAGCCCUGCAACAGACAGGCUUGGCUUUCACUUUGAGAACAAUUGUGGGAUUGGGGUCAGUAAGGGGUCCAGGUGGGGAGGCAUCAAGAUAAAAGGCAGUCAGGCUCCUUCUCCCUGGAGGUGUGUUGCUAUCAACCUCAAUCUAUUCCCUUAAUCCUUUUCUGCCACCCCGCCCCCACAACUCCUCCUGUUGACCAGUGCCCUGGACCUUUAAGAGUUGGAUAGGCUGGACGUAGGAAAGCGCUCACACUUCUUCCCCACCCCAGUCCUCCUCUCGGGCUGUAACUCUGCCAGUUACAGCGGCAGCAGCGGCAAACUGCAGUCCAGGGUGGAAGCAGUCAAGUGCAAAGGAGAAGAGGAGCCUUCUCCAGAGAGCAUUGUGGAGCUCGGACAGACACAGGAUAGUAAUAUCCUACCCAGGAUUCACCCAAAGCCCUUUGCUGCUCCUUGUUCCUUUAGCUGACUCUGACACCAGCUGGUGGAACAGUGGGUGAUGAAAUCUCAGAUUCAAGACUUAAUGGCCACUGAUGAGAACCUGCUGCUGAUGCAAGAAGGCACGAUGAUGCGCAAGGUGAGGACCAAAAGCUGGAAGAAGCUACGAUACUUCAGACUUCAGAAUGAUGGCAUGACAGUCUGGCAUGGACGGCAACCUGACAGCAUACUCAAGCCCACUUUUUCCAUCUCUGAUGUGGAGCGGAUACGUAAGGGCCAGGACUCCGAGUUGUUGCGCUAUCUGGUGGAAGAGUUUCCCCUGGAGCAAGGCUUCACCAUUGUCUUUUAUGGGCGCCGCCCCAACCUGGACCUAGUGGCCAGCAGUGUUCACGAGGCCCAGAUUUGGAUGCGAGGACUCCAGCUGUUGGUGGAUCUUGUCGCCAGCAUGGACCACCAGGAGCAACUGGAUCAAAUGUUGAAUGAGUGGUUCCAACAAGGAGACAGAAACCAGGAUGGCCGGGUGAGUUUCGGAGAAGCUCAACGGCUGCUGCUUCUGAUGAAUAUAGAAAUGGAUGAAGAAUAUGCCUUCAGUCUUUUCCAGGAAGCAGAUGCUACCCAAUCCAAUGCUCUAGGAGCACAAGAAUUUGUACAGUUCUAUAAGGCCUUGACUAAGCGCACUGAGAUUGAAGAAAUAUUCGAGAACUUUUCAUCCGACAAACAGAAGCUGACCUUGCUGGAAUUUGUGGAUUUCCUUAGAGAGGAACAGAAAGAAAAUGACCAUGCCCCUGACCUUGCUUUGGAACUCAUUGACCGCUAUGAGCCUUCUGAGAAUGGCAGAUUGCUGCACGUGCUGAGCAAGGAAGGCUUCCUCAGCUACCUCUGCUCGGCGGAGGGAAACAUCUUCAACCCUGACUGCCUCCCUAUCUACCAGGAUAUGACUCAGCCUCUGAGCCACUACUACAUUAACUCCUCUCACAACACCUACCUAGUAGGGGACCAGCUCUGCGGCCAGAGCAGCGUGGAAGGGUACAUACGGGCCUUGAAACGGGGGUGCCGCUGUGUGGAGGUGGAUACCUGGGAUGGACCUGAUGGAGAGCCCAUUGUUUAUCAUGGGCAUACCCUGACCUCUCGCAUCCUGUUCAAAGAUGUUUUGGCAACACUUGUAAAAUAUGCCUUCCAGUCAUCAGACUACCCUCUCAUCUUGUCUCUGGAUAACCACUGUACCUGGGAACAGCAGAAGACCAUGGCACAUCAUCUGACUAAGAUCCUGGGAGAGCGGCUGCUGAGCACCCCUAUAGAGGGACAACUGAUUGAUAUAAUGCCCUCGCCAGAGCAGCUUCGGGGGAAGAUCUUGGUGAAAGGAAAGAAGUUAAGAACAAUUGGGGUUGAAAAGGAAGAAGAAGACAAGGAAGAGGAGGGGUUAGAUCUCCACCCAGCCUCCCCUGAGUCCCAGGAGCAGGCCUCUGGGAACAAGAAGAAGAAGAAGGUUGUGAAGUGUCCGAUGCCUUGUCAGCUUAUUUGUGGCCAUGUUUUGGCCCAGGCACCUAAUUCUGUUCCUGAGUCCAUUCUCUUGUCAAAGCAGUUUCUUCUCCAGAUUUCCACAACCAUCUUGUGCCCAGACCUAUCUGCCUUGGUUGUCUACUUGAGGACUGUCCCCUUCUGCAGCUUCACUCAUUCCAAAGAAAACUAUCACAUUUAUGACAUUUCAUCCUUUUCUGAGUCCAAGGCCAAGAACCUCAUCAAGGAGGCAGGCAACGAGUUUGUACAGCACAAUGCCAGACAGUUAUGCCGCGUGUAUCCCAGUGGUCUGAGGACAGACUCAUCGAACUUUAACCCUCAGGAAUACUGGAAUGUAGGCUGCCAGAUGGUGGCUAUGAACAUGCAGACUGCAGGAUCUGCAAUGGAUAUCUGUGAUGGGCUCUUCCGCCAGAAUGGUGGCUCUGGCUAUGUGCUAAAGCCAGAAUUCCUGAGAGAUACCCAGAGUUCGUUCAAUCCUGAAAGGCCCAUUAGCCUUUAUAAGGCCCAGAUCCUUGUAGUCCAGGUGAUCAGUGGUCAACGACUCCCCAAAGUGGACAAAACCAAAGAGACGAUCGUUGUGGACCCACUGGUGAAAGUAGAGCUCUUUGGUGUUCCUGAAGACACAAACGAGCAAGAGACCAGCUAUGUGGAGAACAACGGUAUUAAUCCAUACUGGGGAGAGACAUUCUGUUUCCGGAUCCAGGUGCCUGAACUUGCUAUGUUGCGUUUUGUGGUAAAGGAUUAUAGCAGAACAUCCCGAAAUAACUUUAUUGGCCAAUACACCCUGCCUUGGACCUGCAUGAAACAAGGUGAGAGAAACCUUGGACUCCUGGCCAAUAUCCCAACUGUGGCUCCUGAUCCAAUUCUUCUGCCCAUUUCCAGGUUAUCGACACGUAUCCUUGCUCUCCAAAGAUGGCACUAGCCUCCAUCCAGCUUCCAUCUUUGUGAACACCUGCAUGCAGGAAGACCUGGACAUGGAUGAGUCCUGAGAAACACAGGGAGGGCCUUGAAGCAGAACAAUCUACAGAUGCACUGUCCUUUCCAACCUACAACUUCCUCAAAAUCCAGAGCCAGCCAAAGGAUCAAUGAAGGAUCAAGGUUCCCAGGCAAAGGUUGAGGAAGAAUGCCUGACCCAGAACUAUGACUCUCUAGAGAACAAUGUACAGCCUUGAGUUCCCACUGGACUGCUGCUCCUUAGCUGGUCUAAAUAGAGCUUCUCUGUCCAA